rnacentral:snoRNA from 1 species
UCGAUGCACAGUUCAUGAAUGCAACGUCGCAGAUGAACCUGCCCCUCGGGUGGCGGGCGCUUGAUAUAUUCCAGUAACGGUGCGCAGCCGCUCAGGCUAUGAUCGCUCGGUUAAACCAUAUCACGUACAGUC